rnacentral:rRNA from 1 species
GACGGAGGAUGCAAGCGUUAUCCGGAAUCAUUGGGCGUAAAGCGUACGUAGGCGGCUUAUCAAGUCUGGGGUCAAAGACCACAGCUUAACUGUGGAAAGGCCUUGGAAACUAGUGAGCUGGAGUGAGGUAGGGGUUGCGGGAAUUCCCGGUGGAGCGGUGAAAUGCGUAGAUAUCGGGAAGAACACCUGAGGCAAAAGCGCGCGACUGGGCCUUAACUGACGCUGAGGUACGAAAGCUAGGGGAGCGAAUGGG